rnacentral:rRNA from 1 species
GAUGAACGCUGGCGGCGUGCCUAACACAUGCAAGUCGAGCGAUUCACUUCGGUGAAGAGCGGCGGACGGGUGAGUAACGCGUGGGUAACCUGCCUCAUACACAUGGAUAACAUACCGAAAGGUAUGCUAAUACAGGAUAAUAUAAGAAAUUCACAUGUAUUUCUAUCAAAGCUACGGCGGUAUGAGAUGGACCCGCGUCUGAUUAGCUAGUUGGUAAGGUAACGGCUUACCAAGGCGACGAUCAGUAGCCGACCUGAGAGGGUGAUUGGCCACAUUGGAACUGAGACACGGUCAA